CCUACGAGUGGCAGCAGUGAGGAAUAUUGGUCAAUGGGCGCGAGCCUGAACCAGCCAAGUAGCGUGAAGGAUGACUGCCCUACGGGUUGUAAACUUCUUUUAUAAAGGAAUAAAGUGAGGCACGUGUGCCUUUUUGUAUGUACUUUAUGAAUAAGGAUCGGCUAACGCCGUGCCAGCAGCCGCGGUAAUACGGAGGAUCCGAGCGUUAUCCGGAUUUAUUGGGUUUAAAGGGAGAGUAGAUGGGUUGUUAAGUCAGUUGUGAAAGUUUGCGGCUCAACCGUAAAAUUGCAAUUGAUACUGGCAGUCUUGAGUACAGUUGAGGUAGGCGGAAUUCGUGGUGUAGCGGUGAAAUGCAUCGAUAUCACGAAGAACUCCGAUUGCGAAGGCAGCUUACUAAACUGCCACUGACAUUGAUGCUCGAAAGUGUGGGUAUCAAACAGGAUUAGAUACCCUUGUAGUC
rnacentral:rRNA from 1 species